CCGAGCAGCAACAAAGACCCAGCAUAGUCGGAAAAAAAAAAAAAGUCAGAAAAGGCAACCUCCGGACAUCCCGGAAUCGGAGCUGAUGCGGUAACGGAGGGAUCGAUCGAGCAGGAUAGUGAGAGAGGAAGGGUCAGGGGAAAGUGCCAGCCAGAGUGUGGAGACAGAAGGAGUUUGGAAGAGCCGCCCAGGGGACGGAGGAAGAGCUAAAGGGAACCUGAUGAAAGGCCAGUCUGCUAGGACUCCAGCCCCUGGGCAGGAGCCCUGAUCACGCUGUUAGGUAGUUAGAAUAGGAAACAGGAGUCCAGAAGGGCGAUGGCUAAAAGACAAGGAAGGGAGAAGCCCGCGAAAAUAGAACAAAGGAAGGUCCGAGUAUUGGAGUUAGGACCUCAGGUAGAAGAAACAGCACUCCUGGCUAGCCCAAUUUACAUAGGGCAGGCCCAGGGUGAGGA